GGGCACCAGUCCACUGACCACACAUCAGACUACUUCAGAGAGUGAGGGUGAAGCAGGGCUCUCUGAGCAAGCUGAAGGGGAGGUGCCUCAGACAGAGAGCAGCAAGAACCCCGAAGAUCCUCUGGAGGAAAUGAGGGAGACGCUCGAGCAAGAGUGGGGGAGGCGGGAGGUGAUGGUCAUGGAGAGGUUUAUGGGGAUCCUGUCAGAACAACUGACAUUCACAGGUCCAUCAUCUGAAGCUGAUGAGGAUAAUCGUGAACAGUCCAGAAGAAAGGUGUUCAGAUGGUUGGAUAGCGCGUUGGAUACGGGUCUGCUGAUGAUUUAGACAAAUAGGAAAAUGAAUAGCAUGCAGAUGACUCAUUACAUGGAGCGAUAAGUAAAAUAGGUGUUGAUAUGCACUCUGGGGUGAUAGGAACUUGUUCCCAUCUCUUUCAUAUAAUCAGUUUGGUCUUCAUGAGGUUUAGAAAACUGUGUCAGCUAUAUGGCGAAAUGAUCUUGUAACAUUUAAAGGAUGAUUUGUUUUGCUUUUAUUUACUCAUCCAAAUUCAUGGUUGAGUUGAAUGUUUUUAUCCUGAGUGUGCAUUUACAAUGGAAUAGCGCAGAAAAACCUCUACAUAUGUCUAUAAGUUUAAUUUAAAUAUAUAUUCAUACCACAUAUAAUUAGACAUGCAGGGUUUAGAGUAUGACAAAACACAGGCAAUGUGCUUAGGGAUCUCUAAAAUGUGUUAUGUAUACAUUUCUAAAAGCUUAGUUAGAUUUAUAUUGUUUUAUCCCAAUAAUAUUUGAAUUGUCAUUGAUGAUGGAACGUCUAUUUGCUAAUCAUUAAUUCAAAACAAAAUCCUUCCAUAAUCCAGUUCAUCAGUGUGUGUGUGUGUGUGUGUUGUGUUUGGUGUGGUGUCAAAUACAUUGUGUUGUCCUUGAUUGUUGUUUACUUUGUGUGAUCUGUGAGCCUUUAAGAUUCUUUGCCCAAACAGAAAAAGAAGAAUUGCAACAAGGCUAAGAAAGGUGAAAGAUCCGCAGACCUGAAGAGAUCCAUGAAGAGUGUCAUCUUACAUUUUACUUUGACAUUUUAGUUAUUUAGCAGAGGCUU